rnacentral:rRNA from 1 species
CUUUUGCACUAAAAAGGUCUUUUAAUUCAACAUCGAGGUCACAAACUUAUUUGUCAAUUAGAACUUUCUAAAUAAAUUAAGCUGUUAUCCCUAAAGUAACUUAUUCUUCCUUUAAAAUUUUUAGAUACUAAGAUUCAAGAUCUUUAAGUUUAGAAAAAGAUUAAUUUUCUCCACCGCCCCAGUAAAAUACUCACUCUCCUUUCUAAAAGAAAAUUGAAUAUAAAGUUUUAUAGGGUCUUCUCGUCUAUAAGAGUUAUUUUAGCCUUCUUACUAAAAAGUCAACUUCAUCCUUUUACCUUUAAAAAAUUUUUUCCAGUUUACCCUUUCAUUCCAG